AAUAGAUACCCUGGUAGUCCACGCCGUAAACGAUGUGCGCUGGAUGUUGGGUGGCCUAGCCACUCAGUGUCGUAGCUAACGCGGUAAGCGCACCGCCUGGGGAGUACGGCCGCAAGGCUAAAACUCAAAGGAAUUGACGGGGGCCCGCACAAGCGGCGGAGCAUGCGGAUUAAUUCGAUGCAACGCGAAGAACCUUACCAAGGCUUGACAUAUACGAGAACGGGCCAGAAAUGGUCAACUCUUUGGACACUCGUAAACAGGUGGUGCAUGGUUGUCGUCAGCUCGUGUCGUGAGAUGUUGGGUUAAGUCCCGCAACGAGCGCAACCCUUGUCCUUAGUUGCCAUCAUUUAGUUGGGAACUCUAAGGAGACCGCCGGUGACAAACCGGAGGAAGGUGGGGAUGACGCCAAGUCAUCAUGGCCUUUAUGACCAGGGCUACACACGUGCUACAAUGGUAGAUACAGAGGGAAGCCAACGCGCGAGCGGGAGCUAAUCCCAGAAAAUCUAUCGUAGUCCGGAUUGGAGU
rnacentral:rRNA from 1 species